rnacentral:lncRNA from 1 species
UUAGAGUAACGUAAUGGAAGCGUAAAUGUAUUAGAUUAUGAAUCCAAUCCAUCAUUGGAUGUUUCUUCAUUAUGAAUGAAGAGAUAAUUAGAUAUCUCUUUAUUAUGACUAAAGAGAAAUUUGGAUGGAAACAUUAAAAGUAAUGACUUUAGUGUGUUCCAUUAUGCAUGCAAAAUAUAUUGCCAUAAAGAAGCUUACAACAAUGUUGUUUGGAUGAGAAAGUUCAUUUAUGAACUCUUUAUUCGGUUCCAACCAGAAAGUGUCUCUAGUGUACCGACACUACGACACUAAUGGGGCGAUAGCUCA